GGAUGCAAUCGCCUGGUAAUAAACUCUGGAAAUCAUCGACACAAUGAAGAACGUAGGAUAAUUUGCUGGAGCGCUGACGGCAGUUUUUGA
rnacentral:rRNA from 1 species